ensembl:ncRNA lncRNA:CR44769 long non-coding RNA:CR44769
ACCGCCGGUGUUGUUGUUGUUUUUGCUGCCGCCGCUGGCGAGUUUUUGUUUAAACGUUUUCAAAUCGCACAGCGAAUGAAAACGAAAGAAAAAAUGAAACACAUCGAAAGUGAGCAUAUAACGAAGCGCUAACCGGCAAUGUUGUCGACGUAUCAGAGCGCUCGUAGUGCCCCCAUCCGAACCCCCAUACCCGAUAUACCAUACCAUACACACUAUACCGCGCCGCAGUCGCCACAUCACGUACUGCCCCCCGUCCGAACCGAUCCGAUCCACUCCACUAUUUCCGAGAGACUUUGCAUGGCCGGUCGACCGGCCGACGACCAUCGCAUGGCACAUCGGGCCGUGGAAUCGUACACUUCAAUGAUAUAAAUAAUAUUUAAAUU